ACUGGAUAGAGGAAGCCCUUAGUUUAUACAGGAUCCAGACUGGAUAGAGGAAGCCCUUAGUUUAUACAGGAUCCAGACUGGAUAGAGGAAGCCCUUAGUUUAUACAGGAUCCAGACUGGAUAGAGGAAGCCCUUAGUUUAUACAGGAUCCAGACUGGAUAGAGGAAGCCCUUAGUUUAUACAGGAUCCAGACUGGAUAGAGGAAGCCCUUAGUUUAUACAGGAUCCAGACUGGAUAGAGGAAGCCCUUAGUUUAUAUAGGAUUCAGACUGGAUAGAGGAAGCCCUUAGUUUAUAUAGGAUCCAGACUGGAUAGAGGAAGCCCUUAGUUUAUACAGGAUCCAGACUGGAUAGAGGAAGCCCUUAGUUUAUACAGGAUCCAGACUGGAUAGAGGAAGCCCUUAGUUUAUAUAGGAUUCAGACUGGAUAGAGGAAGCCCUUAGUUUAUACAGGAUCCAGACUGGAUAGAGGAAGCCCUUAGUUUAUACAGGAUCCAGACUGGAUAGAGGAAGCCCUUAGUUUAUAUAGGAUUCAGACUGGAUAGAGGAAGCCCUUAGUUUAUACAGGAUCCAGACUGGAUAGAGGAAGCCCUUAGUUUAUAUAGGAUUCAGACUGGAUAGAGGAAGCCCUUAGUUUAUACAGGAUCCAGACUGGAUAGAGGAAGCCCUUAGUUUAUACAGGAUCCAGAGUGAAUAGAUGAAGCCCUUAGUUUAUACAGGAUCCAGACUGGAUAGAGGAAGCCCUUAGUUUAUACAGGAUCCAGACUGGAUAGAGGAAACCCUUAGUUUAUACAGGAUCCAGACUGGAUAGAGGAAGCCCUUAGAUUAUACAGGAUCCAGACUGAAUAGAUGAAGCCCUUAGUUUAUACAGGAUCCAGACUGGAUAGAGGAAGCCCUUAGUUUAUACAGGAUCCAGACUGGAUAGAGGAAGCCCUUAGUUUAUAUAGGAUUCAGACUGGAUAGAGGAAGCCCUUAGUUUAUACAGGAUCCAGAGUGAAUAGAUGAAGCCCUUAGUUUAUACAGGAUCCAGACUGGAUAGAGGAAGCCCUUAGUUUAUACAGGAUCCAGACUGGAUAGAGGAAACCCUUAGUUUAUACAGGAUCCAGACUGGAUAGAGGAAGCCCUUAGAUUAUACAGGAUCCAGACUGAAUAGAUGAAGCCCUUAGUUUAUAUAGGGUCCAGACUGGAUAGAGGAAGCCCUUAGUUUAUACAGGAUCCAGACUGGAUAGAUGAAGCCCUUAGUUUAUACAGGAUCCAGACUGGAUAGAGGAAGCCCUUUGUUUAUACAGGAUCCAGACUGGAUAGAGGAACUCUUACUUCAGACUGUAACAUUACAUCCUGUCUGUGUGGUGUCUCAGGCAGACCUUUAGUCGACCCUGGGGGACUCUUACUUCAGACUGUAACAUUACAUCCUGUCUGUGUGGUGUCUCAGGCAGACCUGCAGUCGACCCUGGGGGACUCUUACUUCAGACUGUAACAUUACAUCCUGUCUGUGUGGUGUCUCAGGCAGACCUUUAGUCGACCCUGGGGGACUCUUACUUCAGACUGUAACAUUACAUCCUGUCUGUGUGGUGUCUCAGGCAGACCUGCAGUCGACCCUGGGGGACUCUUACUUCAGACUGUAACAUUACAUCCUGUCUGUGUUGUGUCUCAGGCAGACCUGCAGUCGACCCUGGGGGACUCUUACUUCAGACUGUAACAUUACAUCCUGUCUGUGUGGUGUCUCAGGCAGACCUUUAGUCGACCCUGGGGGACUCUUACUUCAGACUGUAACAUUACAUCCUGUCUGUGUGGUGUCUCAGGCAGACCUUUAGUCGACCCUGGGGGACUCUUACUUCAGACUAACAUUACAUCCUGUCUGUGUGGUGUCUCAGGCAGACCUGCAGUCGACCCUGGGGGACUCUUACUUCAGACUGUAACAUUACAUCCUGUCUGUGUUGUGUCUCAGGCAGACCUUUAGUCGACCCUGGGGGACUCUUACUUCAGACUAACAUUACAUCCUGUCUGUGUGGUGUCUCAGGCAGACCUUUAGUCGACCCUGGGGGACUCUUACUUCAGACUGUAACAUUACAUCCUGUCUGUGUGGUGUCUCAGGCAGACCUUUAGUCGACCCUGGGGGACUCUUACUUCAGACUGUAACAUUACAUCCUGUCUGUGUGGUGUCUCAGGCAGACCUUUAGUCGACCCUGGGGGACUCUUACUUCAGACUGUAACAUUACAUCCUGUCUGUGUGGUGUCUCAGGCAGACCUUUAGUCGACCCUGGGGGACUCUUACUUCAGACUGUAACAUUACAUCCUGUCUGUGUGGUGUCUCAGGCAGACCUUUAGUCGACCCUGGGGGACUCUUACUUCAGACUGUAACAUUACAUCCUGUCUGUGUGGUGUCUCAGGCAGACCUUUAGUCGACCCUGGGGGACUCUUACUUCAGACUGUAACAUUACAUCCUGUCUGUGUGGUGUCUCAGGCAGACCUGCAGUCGACCCUGGGGGACGCGGGGUACAUCGUGUUUGGGGUGAUUCUGUUUGUCUGGGAGCUGCUGCCUACCUCCCUGGUCGUCUACUUUUUCAGGGUCCGACAGCCCAACCAGGACAAGAGUGGGACGGGACUCCCAGGACACGUCUUCUCGUCCAGGGCCUAUUUCUUUGACAACCCUCAACGUUAUGACAGCGAUGACGACCUGGUAUGGAGCAUCAUCCCUCACAACAAACAGGCCAGUUUGACAGCAGACAGCUAUGACUGCAGCAGCAGCACAGCCCCGCCCCCAGAGGAGCUCAACCCUUAUUGAAGACUUCCUAUUGGUCCUGAACCUUAUUUAAGAGCUUGGAUUUGUUCCGGAACUUUUACAAGAGCUCCUAUUGGUCCGGAGCUCUUUUUGAAGUCUUCCUGAUGGCCCUGUCUCUUUUUUUUGCACACGCCUACACUGAUGACCUCACACCUGAGGGCCUCGGAUCGAGACACGGGGGUGAAUAUCAUCAUGGAUUUUAUUCAUUCUAUUUUCUACUAUUUUGAUAAAUAAAGUCUUUAGUAAAAAAGUUCAUACAUAUUUUCUAAAGGGCAGUAAGUAUUGAGAUGAUGGUCUUAGGGGGCAUACAUAACUUUCACAAACAAAUAGGAAUAUGUAUAAAGGUUUAUAAUCAAGGUGUACAACAUUGGCAGCUAAGAGCUGAAUUGCACUUUACAGUCCAUCUGAAUAUGCAUUACCUUAAUCCACUAUUUUAAAAACAUGUUUACUGUUUAGAAGCCAACAUGACGAAUAAGAUAACUCAUAUACAGGUGUUUCCUAAUCUUGUAUGUAAUAUGUAUCCAUUUAUAUUCUCAAUGUCUCCUUUUCAUGUUUUUAACACAAGCCGCUAAAAUGGUUGACAGGCAUUAGGGAGGAGAUGUACUGUACAUGUGUUCUGGUCUUUACAAUCCUCUCUCACAUUGGAGUCUCCAUAAUAAAAACUAUUUUAUAAAACACAUUGAUUGUGCUUUAGGACAGUGUGGUGGAACAUUCUAAUUCUAUAGGUGGAACAUUCUAAUUCUAUAGGUUGAACAUUGUAAUUAUAUAGGUGGAACACAUUCUCGUUCUACAGGUGGAACACAUUCUAAUUCUAUAUGUGGAACACAUUCUAAUUCUAUAGGUGGAAGAUUCUAAUUCUAUAGUGGAACACAUUCUAAUUCUAUAGGUGGAACAUUCUAAUUCUAUAGGUUGAACAUUCUAAUUAUAUAGGUGGAACACAUUCUAAUUAUAUAGGUGCAACACAUUCUAAUUUUAUAGGUGGAACACAUUCUAUUUCUAUAUGUGGAACACAUUCUAAUUCUAUAGGUGGAACAUUCUAAUUCUAUAGGUGGACCAUUCUAAUUAUAUAGGUGGAACACAUUCUAAUUCUAUAGGUGGAACAUUCUAUUUCUAUAGGUGGAACACAUUCUAAUUCUAUAGGUGCAACACAUUCUAAUUUUAUAGGUGGAACACAUUCUAUUUCUAUAGGUGGAACAUUCUAAUUCUAUAGUGGAACACAUUCUAAUUCUAUAGGUGGAACAUUCUAAUUCUAUAGGUUGAACAUUCUAAUUAUAUAGGUGGAACACAUUCUAAUUAUAUAGGUGCAACACAUUCUAAUUCUAUAGGUGGAACAUUCUAUUUCUAUAGGUGGAACAUUCUAAUUCUAUAGGUGGAACACAUUCUAAUUCUAUAGGUGUAACAUUCUAAUUCUAUAGGUGGAACACAUUCUAAUUCUAUAGGUGCAACACAUUCUAAUUAUAUAGGUGCAACAUUCUAAUUCUAUAUGUGGAACACAUUCUAAUUCUGUAGGUGGAACAUUCUAAUUCUACAGGUGGAAGAUUCUAAUUCUAUAGGUGGAACACAUUCUAAUUCUAUAGGUGGAACACAUUCUAAUUCUAUAGAUGGAACAUUCAAAUUCUAUAGGUGGAACAUUCUAAUUCUAUAGGUGGAACACAUUCUAAUUCUAUAGGUGGAACAUUCUAAUUCUAUAUGUGGAACAUUCUAAUUCUAUAGGUGGAACACAUUCUAAUUCUAUAGGUGCAACACAUUCUAAUUAUAUAGGUGGAACAUUGUGAUUCUAUAUGUGGAACACAUUCUAAUUCUGUAGGUGGAACAUUCUAAUUCUACAGGUGGAAGAUUCUAAUUCAAUAGGUGGAACACAUUCUAAUUCUAUAGGUGGAACACAUUCUAAUUCUAUAGAUGGAACAUUCAAAUUCUAUAGGUGGAACAUUCUAAUUCUACAGGUGGAACACAUUCUAAUUCUAUAGGUGGAACAUUCUAAUUCUAUAUGUGGAACAUUCUAAUUCUAUAGGUGGAACACAUUCUAAUUCUAUAGGUGCAACACAUUCUAAUUAUAUAGGUGGAACAUUGUGAUUCUAUAUGUGGAACACAUUCUAAUUCUGUAGGUGGAACAUUCUAAUUCUACAGGUGGAAGAUUCUAAUUCAAUAGGUGGAACACAUUCUAAUUCUAUAGGUGGAACACAUUCUAAUUCUAUAGAUGGAACAUUCAAAUUCUAUAGGUGGAACAUUCUAAUUCUAUAGGUGGAACACAUUCUAAUUCUUUAGGUGGAAAACAUUCUAAUUCUAUAUGUGGAACAUUCUAAUUCUAUAGGUGGAACACAUUCUAAUUCUAUAGGUGCAACACAUUCUAAUUAUAUAGGUGGAACAUUGUGAUUCUAUAUGUGGAACACAUUCUAAUUCUGUAGGUGGAACAUUCUAAUUCUACAGGUGGAAGAUUCUAAUUCAAUAGGUGGAACACAUUCUAAUUCUAUAGGUGGAACACAUUCUAAUUCUAUAGAUGGAACAUUCAAAUUCUAUAGGUGGAACAUUCUAAUUCUACAGGUGGAACACAUUCUAAUUCUAUAGGUGGAA